rnacentral:rRNA from 1 species
AUUGAACGCUGGCGGCAUGCUUUACACAUGCAAGUCGAACGGUAACAGGCCUUCGGGUGCUGACGAGUGGCGAACGGGUGAGUAAUGCAUCGGAACGUACCCAGAGGUGGGGGAUAACGCAGCGAAAGCUGUGCUAAUACCGCAUGUGAUCUGAGGAUGAAAGCGGGGGACCGAGCAGCAAUGUUUGGCCUCGCGCCUUUGGAGCGGCCGAUGUCGGAUUAGCUAGUUGGUGGGGUAAAGGCCUACCAAGGCGACGAUCCGUAGCUGGUCUGAGAGGACGACCAGCCACACUGGGACUGAGACACGGCCCAGACUCCUACGGGAGGCAGCAGUGGGGAAUUUUGGACAAUGGGCGCAAGCCUGAUCCAGCAAUGCCGCGUGCGGGAAGAAGACCUUCGGGUUGUAAACCGCUUUUGGCAGGAACGAAACGGUGUCCGCUAAUACCGGGCGCUAAUGACGGUACCUGCAGAAUAAGCACCGGCUAACUACGUG